rnacentral:rRNA from 1 species
UGACACAGGGAGGUAGUGACAAGAAAUAACAAUACAGGGCUUUCGUCUUGUAAUUGGAAUGAUGGUGAUGUACAACCUCACCAGAGUACCAAUUGGAGGGCAAGUCUGGUGCCAGCAGCCGCGGUAAUUCCAGCUCCAAUAGCGUAUAUUAAACUUGUUGCAGUUAAAAAGCUCGUAGUUGUAUUUCAGCCUCGCGUUUUUUCCCUCGUUUUGGGUCUUUUCGCUGGCUUUUUUUUUACUUUGAGAAAAUUAGAGUGUUUCAAGCAGACUUUUGUCUUGAAUACUUCAGCAUGGAAUAAUAGAGUAGGACCUUGGUUCUAUUUUGUUGGUUUUGAGCCUUGGUAAUGGUUAAUAGGAACGGUUGGGGGCAUUCGUAUUUAACUGUCAGAGGUGAAAUUCUUAGAUUUGUUAAA